AAAAGCAGAUGUUCACGUGCUCGACCGCCUGCCGUACGCUGUGACAUUUCCAGAAAUGACACGUGAUGUCCGGAGACUUUAAUCUGCUUUACUACUGCAGUCAUUCCUCAAGCAGGACGGAUGAAACCAGCUACAAACGUUAUCAUAGCACAGCUGAACUUCAACGGAAAGUGGAGGUGAAUGAUCCGUGGAAAUAUUCGAUCUCUUUUCAACGUUAGCAGGGCAGAGGAUCUUCCGUUCACGUCGCUUUCGA